rnacentral:ncRNA from 2 species
AACCUAAUACACCAUGUUUUUCGUAUAAUCCCGGGAAUUGGCCCGAGAGUUUCUACAGAUCACCGUAAAUGAUCUGGCUACGAAGAAGAAGAAUUUCCUC